rnacentral:misc_RNA from 1 species
GAUGAAGAACGCAGCGAAAUGCGAUACGUAAUGUGAAUUGCAGAAUUCAGUGAAUCAUCGAAUCUUUGAACGCACAUUGCGCUCUCUGGUAUUCCGGAGAGCAUGCUUGUUUGAGUAUCAGUAAACACCUCAACUCCUUUAUUGUAGUUGGACUUGAGCUAUCCCAACAGGACUUUUUGUUCCUGGCGGGAGGCUUGAAAUGCAGGUGCAGCUGGACUUUCUUCUGAGCUAUAAGCAUAUUUAUUUAAUCCCUUAACACGGAUUAUUACUUUUUUGCUGCAGCUAACAUAAAGGUUGAAUUUCCAUUGAGCUGACUGAUGCAGGAAUUUGGCAAGGAAUUUUUUAAUGACUUGUUAAACUCGAUCUCAAAUCAAGUAAGACUACCCGCUGAACUUAAGCAUAUCAAUAAGCGGAGGA